GACAGAGGGUGCAAACGUUGUUCGGAAUUACUGGGCGUAAAGCGCGUGUAGGCGGCCAUGCAAGUCGGAUGUGAAAGCCCUCGGCUCAACCGGGGAAGUGCACUCGAAACUGCAAGGCUAGAGUCUCGGAGAGGAUCGUGGAAUUCUCGGUGUAGAGGUGAAAUUCGUAGAUAUCGAGAGGAACACCGGUGGCGAAGGCGGCGAUCUGGACGAUGACUGACGCUGAGACGCGAAAGCGUGGGGAGCAAACGGG
rnacentral:rRNA from 1 species